GCGCCGACUAUAGUCCGGUCAAGUAUGCGGGCCUCUCGAGCCCGUGACCCGGGUUCAAAUCCCGGCCGGAGCA
rnacentral:tRNA from 1 species